rnacentral:rRNA from 1 species
AUUGAACGCUGGCGGCAUGCUUUACACAUGCAAGUCGAACGGUAACAGGCCGCAAGGUGCUGACGAGUGGCGGACGGGUGCGUAAUGCAUCGGAACGUGCCCAGUCGUGGGGGGUAACUACUCGAAAGAGUAGCUAAUACCGCAUACGAUCUAUGGAUGAGAGCGGGGGACCGUAAGGCCUCGCGCGAUUGGUGCGGCCGAUGUCAGAUUAGUUAGUUGGUGGGGUAAAGGCUCACCAAGCCAACGAUUUGUAGCCGGUCUGAGCGGACGAGCCGCCACACUGGAACUGAGACACGGCCCAGACUCCUACGGGAGGCAGCAGUAGGGAAUCUUGGGCAAUGGGCGCAAGCCUGAUCCAGCAACGCCGCGUGCAGGAAGAAGGUCUUCGGGUUGUAAACUGCUGUUGUUCGGAACGAAACGGUGUUGGUUAAUCCCCGGGGGUAAUGACGGUACCGUAAGAAUAAGCACCGGCUAACUACGUG